rnacentral:rRNA from 1 species
AGUGAACGCUGGCGGUAGGCCUAACACAUGCAAGUCGAACGGCAGCACAGGAGAGCUUGCUCUCUGGGUGGCGAGUGGCGGACGGGUGAGGAAUACAUCGGAAUCUACUGUUUCGUGGGGGAUAACGUAGGGAAACUUACGCUAAUACCGCAUACGACCUACGGGUGAAAGCAGGGGAUCUUCGGACCUUGCGCGAUUGACUGAGCCGAUGUCGGAUUAGCUAGUUGGCGGGGUAAAGGCCCACCAAGGCGACGAUCCGUAGCGGGUCUGAGAGGAUGAUCAGCCACACUGGAACUGAGACACGGUCCAGACUCCUACGGGAGGCAGCAGUGGGGAAUAUUGGACAAUGGGCGCAAGCCUGAUCCAGCCAUACCGCGUGGGUGAAGAAGGCCUUCGGGUUGUAAAGCCCUUUUGUUGGGAAAGAAAUCCAGCUGGUUAAUACCCGGUUGGGAUGACGGUACCCAAAGAAUAAGCACCGGCUAACUUCGUGCCAGCCGCCGCCGUAA